rnacentral:rRNA from 1 species
UACGGAGGGUGCAAGCGUUAUCCGGAUUCACUGGGUUUAAAGGGGGCGUAGGUGGGCAGGUAAGUCAGUGGUGAAGUCUCCGGGCUUAACCCGGAAACUGCCGUUGAUACUAUUUGUCUUGAAUAUUGUGGAGGUAAGCGGAACAUGUCAUGUAGCGGUGAAAUGCUUAGAUAUGACAUAGAACACCAAUUGCGAAGGCAGCUUACUACACAAUCAUUGACACUGAGGCACGAAAGCGUGGGGAUCAAACAGG